AGAAUGAACGUUGGCGGCGUGGAUUAGGCAUGCAAGUCGAGCGGGAGUAGCAAUACUCUAGCGGCGUAAGGGACAGUAACACGUAGAUCACCUACCCUCUGAUUCAGGAUAGCUGCGGGAAACUGCAGGUAAUACUGAAUAAUGUCUCCGGACCAAAGGUGUGAUUCCGUCGGAGGAUGGGUCUGCGUCCUAUUAGCUAGUUGGUAGGGUAAUGGCCUACCAAGGCAAUGAUGGGUAGUGGGUGUGAGAGCACGACCCGCGUCACUGGGACUGAGACACUGCCCAGACACCUACGGGUGGCUGCAGUCGAGGAUCUUCGGCAAUGGGCGCAAGCCUGACCGAGCGACGCCGCGUGCGGGAUGAAGGCCUUCGGGUUGUAAACCGCUGUCAGUGGGGAGAAAUGUACGGAGUUCUCCUCCGUAUUUGAUCUAUCCGCAGAGGAAGUGUGGGCUAAGUUCGCGCCAGCAGCCGCGGUAA
rnacentral:rRNA from 1 species